ACAUCACGUUCAAACACCGAUUUCGUACGAUCACCGAAAUUAAGCAACGUCGAGCAUGGGCAGUACCAAGAUGGGUGACAGCUUGGGAAUACCAGGUGUUGUAAG